rnacentral:rRNA from 1 species
GACGAACGCUGGCGGCGUGCUUAACACAUGCAAGUCGAACGGAAAGGCCCUGCUUUUGUGGGGUGCUCGAGUGGCGAACGGGUGAGUAACACGUGAGUAACCUGCCCUUGACUGUGGGAUAACUUCAGGAAACUGGGGCUAAUACCGGAUAGGAGCUCCUGCUGCAUGUGGGGGGUUGGAGAGUGUCGGCGGUGGGGGCUGUACUCGCAGCUUAUCAGCUUGUUGGUGUGGUUGUGGCUGACCAAGGGUUUGACGGGUAGCCGGCCUGAGAGCGUGACCGGCGACAUGGGGACUGAGAGACGGACCAGACUCGUACCGGAGGCAGUAGUGGGAAAUCUUGCACAAUGGGCGGAAGCCUGAUGCAGCAACGCCGCGUGCGGGAUGACGGCCUUCGGGUUGUAAACCGCUUUCGCCUGUGCUGAAGAGUGCGUGACGGUACUGGGUAAAGAAGCAACGGCUAACUACGUG